AUUUGAUAAAAUUGUCGCGUGAUAAAAUCACAAUAAAACCAUGUUUAGUUUCAUGACAAUUUUCUUUUAGUUUCAAAUCCCGAGGAAUGAUGCAGCAAACAACAGUCGUGGUUCAGCAGCCACCAGCCUACUCUCCUAUAGAUACUCAUGGCUACAUGAUAAUCAAUCCAGUACCCUUAUUCGGUGAGAAUUCUAUGACAGUGGUGUGUGGUAACUGCGGACGCCAAGGCCCCACCAAAAUAGUACCUGAAAAUGGAGUGUGCGCCCAUUUAUGCGCAUUCAUGUUGGCCUUCAUUUUCUUACCUUGUGCUUGCGUGCCGCUGUGCUCGGGAUCUUGCAAAGAUUACAGCCAUUAUUGUUCUUCCUGUAAUGCAAAGCUAGGGACAUACAAAAGACUAUAGAAAAAAAUUGCAAGAGAAAUCAAAAUGGAGAAACAAACGAGAUAUAUAUGGUAACUACAAACGUUAAGAAGACUUGCUUGAAAUGUUCUUCAUAUGGUACUUAACAACCAGUAGUCCUAUUUAUUUUGACUGUAGAAAAAUGAAAUGGAUCUAUAAAAAUGUAUAUUGAAACUAAAAGUUUGUACAGAGCAGUGGCAUCAAAUUUAAUGUAAUUUAAAAAAAUAGAAUAAAUUUUUCAUAAUACAACAACCUGAAAAAAAUUAUCUAAAAAAAUCUGCUGCUUAAAGAAACAAAUUGAUUCUAAAAACUUUUAUUUGAACAAAGCUGUAUUAAAAGAAAUUUAUUUGAUUA